AACGAACGCUGGCGGCAGGCUUAACACAUGCAAGUCGAGCGCCCCGCAAGGGGAGCGGCAGACGGGUGAGUAACGCGUGGGAAUCUACCCAUCUCUACGGAAUAACGCAUGGAAACGUGUGCUAAUACCGUAUACGUCCUUCGGGCGAAAGAUUUAUCGGAGAUGGAUGAGCCCGCGUUGGAUUAGCUAGUUGGUGGGGUAAAGGCCUACCAAGGCGACGAUCCAUAGCUGGUCUGAGAGGAUGAUCAGCCACACUGGGACUGAGACACGGCCCAGACUCCUACGGGAGGCAGCAGUGGGGAAUAUUGGACAAUGGGCGCAAGCCUGAUCCAGCCAUGCCGCAUGAGUGAUGACGGCCCUAGGGUUGUAAAGCUCUUUCACCGGUGAAGAUAAUGACGGUAACCGGAGAAGAAGCCCCGGCUAACUUCGUGCCAGCCGCCGCAGUAACAC
rnacentral:rRNA from 1 species